rnacentral:tmRNA from 1 species
GCUGGUUCGCCAGCUAUGGCGAUAAAUGGAUAUCGUAAUAAGCCUAUCGGACCCGGGGGCGGUACCCGGCGCCUCCACCA